rnacentral:rRNA from 1 species
UACGUAGGGGGCCAGCGUUGUUCGGAAUUACUGGGUGUAAAGGGUUCGUAGGCGGUGCGGCAAGUUGGGAGUGAAAUCUCUGGGCUUAACCCAGAGGCUGCUUCCAAAAACUGCUGUGCUUGAGUGUGGGAGAGGCGCGUGGAAUUGCAGGUGUAGCGGUGAAAUGCGUAGAUAUCUGGAGGAACACCGGUGGCGAAGGCGGCAUCCUGGACCAACACUGACACUGAGGAGCGAAAGCCAGGGGAGCAAACGGG